rnacentral:rRNA from 1 species
UACGGAGGAUGCAAGCGUUAUCCGGAAUGAUUGGGCGUAAAGGGUCCGCAGGUGGCAGUGUAAGUCUGCUGUCAAAGAAUGAGGCUUAACCUUAUCAAGGCAGUGGAAACUACACAGCUAGAGUACGGUCGGGGUAGAAGGAAUUCCUGGUGUAGCGGUGAAAUGCGUAGAGAUCAGGAAGAACACCGGUGGCGAAAGCGCUCUGCUGGACCUUAACUGACACUGAGGGACGAAAGCUAGGGGAGCGAAUGGG